GCAAUCUACACCCAAGGCUCACUGGACUUCCUAUAGAUUCUCAAUGGUACCAUCACAUUUCCACCUUUAGCCUUUGCCCUUGCUGUUUCCUUUGCCUGGAACACACUUUGCAAUCAUUGAUUGACGCCCACCCAUGAACAUCUCGGCUUGGAAGCCAGUUCCUCUGGGCUCUCCAGUCAUCCGGGCAUUAUUCUGCACUUGUUAAGUGAUACCUGUAUACACCAGGCUCAGCACUGGCCCCAGCUGGAGGGAGGGUGGUCUGUGAGCACCCAAGAAUGUCAGCUGCACCCGGGCAGAACAUCCCACCUGGCCUGCUUGCUCACUGCCAGCUCAUCAGCACUUCACCCAGGGCAAGGAAAACACAGGACUCACCCUUGGAUUUCCGAAGUUCCUCUAUCAGACACUGAGCCUCGUCCUGAAUCCGCUCCUCCACACUCCGCUUUCCCAUCCCGAAGUCCCUCAUGGUGGUCACAGAGAAUCGCCGAAGCACCUUCCAGCGGUUUCCAUUGGCAAAGAGCAUGCCUGCAGUGCAGGGGAGGUGUGAGUUGGUUGCAGAAGAAGUUGGAAGAAGGCUCUGAGUCCUUCUUCCCCCCAUAUACUCCCUUCCCUGAUGCACCCCCACCUGCCCCCUCCCAGUGCCUCUGAAGCCCUCACCAUAUCCCUGGUAGACUGGGUCCAUGAUGACGAUUUUUCCCCGGCCAGAGAAGGCC
rnacentral:lncRNA from 1 species